CGAUGUACGAUGUACGGCAUUUCGGGAUGUAAAGUCACUAUGUGGACAGGCAAGUACCGUCUGCAGAUGAUGCUUCGAGCACGUGACUAACCAUGCAGACUAAGCACAGGCUAUGUCCGCACCAGCAGCCGCGGUUAUACGUCGAGUGCUAUCGUGAAUCGUAGUACUGGGCGUAUAGCGUGCGCAUGUCGGUUCGGAAAGAAAGAUGCGAAAUCCCAGAGCUUGGAUUUGGAACUGCAUUUUUAACUACCGAGCUAGAGUGUGUCAGAGGGAGGUGGAAUUCCGCGUGUAGCAGUGAAAUGCGUAGAUAUGCGGAGGAACACCGAUGGCGAAGGCAGCCUCCUGGGACAACACUGACGAUCAUGCACGAAAGGGUGGGGAGCAAACAGGAUUAGAUACCGUGCUAGUCCACGCCGUAGAGGAUGUCAAGUAGCUGUUGGUGAGUUCGGUCCUUGGUAGGGCAGCUCACGAGUGAAGUUGCCCGCGUGGGGAGUUCGGUAGCAAGAUUAAAAAUCAAAGGAAUUGGGGGGGACCCGCACAAGCGGUGGAUGAUGUGGAUUAAUUGGAUGCAACGGGACAAACCUUACUUACCCUUGACUUGUAUAGAAGGCGGAAGAGAUUUGGCCGUGCUGGCAAGAGAAGUGGAACACAGGUGGUGCAUGGUCGUCGUCAGUUGGUGUAGUGAGAUGUUGGGUUAAGUCCGGCAACGAGCGCAACCCUUGUCAUUAGUCGUUCAGAAAGGCCAUUUUAAUGAGACUGCCGGUGACAAACCGGAGGAAGGUGGGGAGGACGUCAAGUCUUCAUGGCCCUUAUGGGUAGGGCUUCACACGUCAUACAAUGGUCGGGACAGAGGGCUGCCAACCCGCGAGGGGGAGCCAAUCCCAGAAACCCGUUUGUAGUCCGGAUCCCAUUCUGCAAUUGGACUGCGUGAAGUCGGAUUCGUUAGUAUUCGCGGAUCACCAUGUCGCGGGGAAUACGUUCCCGGCUCUUGUCCCCCCCCCCCGUCCCCCCAUGGGAGCGGGUUCUACCAGAAGUAGGUAGCGUAACCGCAAGGAGGCCGCUGACCCAACGUUUU
rnacentral:rRNA from 1 species